rnacentral:rRNA from 1 species
CGGGGUGCAGCAGGCGCGAAAACUUUACAAUGCGGGAAACCGUGAUAAGGGGACACCGAGUGCCAGCAUCAUAUGCUGGCUGUCCAGGUGUGUAAAAUACACCUGUCAGCAAGGGCCGGGCAAGACCGGUGCCAGCCGCCGCGGUAACACCGGCGGCCCGAGUGGUGAUCGUGAUUAUUGGGUCUAAAGGGUCCGUAGCCGGUUUGGUCAGUCCUCCGGGAAAUCUGACGGCUCAACCGUUAGGCUUUCGGGGGAUACUGCCAGGCUUGGAACCGGGAGAGGUAAGAGGUACUACAGGGGUAGGAGUGAAAUCUUGUAAUCCCUGUGAGACCACCUGUGGCGAAGGCGUCUUACCAGAACGGGUUCGACGGUGAGGGACGAAAGCUGGGGGCACGAACCGGAUUAGAUACCCGGGUAGUCCCAGCCGUAAACGAUGCUCGCUAGGUGUCAGGCAUGGCGCGACCGUGUCUGGUGCCGCAGGGAAGCCGUGAAGCGAGCCACCUGGGAAGUACGGCCGCAAGGCUGAAACUUAAAGGAAUUGGCGGGGGAGCACAAGGGCGAAUGCG